rnacentral:rRNA from 1 species
UACGUAGGGGGCAAGCGUUGUCCGGAUUUACUGGGCGUAAAGAGCGCGCAGGCGGUCGUUCAAGUCGCGUGUGAAAGCCCCCGGCUCAACUGGGGAGGGUCACGCGAUACUGAUCGACUCGAAGGCAGGAGAGGGUAGUGGAAUUCCCGGUGUAGUGGUGAAAUGCGUAGAUAUCGGGAGGAACACCAGUGGCGAAGGCGACUACCUGGCCUGUUUCUUGACGCUGAGGCGCGAAAGCUAGGGGAGCAAACGGG